rnacentral:lncRNA from 1 species
UCUCCUUUUUGGUGGGGUCUUUGUCUGGUUUUGGAAUUAAGGUGAUGCUGGCCUCAUAGAACGAAUUUGGAAGUACUCCAUCUCUUUCUAUCUUUCCAAACAGCUUUAGGAGAAUAUGGUACCCAGUAUCUUAAACCAGCUUGGUGCAGACAGUCUGACUAGUUUAAGACUGGCUGAAGCUCUGCCCAAACAAUCUGUGGAUGGAAAAGCACCACUUGCUACCGGAGAGGAUGAUGAUGAUGAAGUUCCAGAUCUUGUGGAGAAUUUUGAUGAAGCUUCCAAGAAUGAAGCAAACUGAAUUGAGUCAACUUCUGAAGAAGAAAAACUUGAAGAAGUUACUGGGAGCUGCUAUUUUAUAUUAUUACUGCUUUUUAAAAUUUUGUUCAUGCCUCGGUGUCCAACGAAAGAUGAAUGGAUAAAGAAGAUGUGGUUUAUGUAUACAAUGGAAUAUUACUCAGCUAUUAGAAAUGACAAAUACCCACCAUUUGCUUCAACGUGGAUGGAACUGGAGGGUAUUAUGCUGAGUGAAGUAAGCCAGUCGGAGAAGGACAAACAUUAUAUGUUCUCAUUCAUUUGGGGAAUAUAAAUAAUAGUGAAAGGGAAUAUAAGGGAAGGGGGAAGAAAUGUGUGGGAAAUAUCAGAAAGGGAGACAGAACGUAAAGACUGCUAACUCUGGGAAACGAUCUAGGGGUGGUAGAAGGGGAGGAGGGCGGGGGGUGGGAUUGAAUGGGUGACGGGCACUGGGUGUUAUUCUGUAUGUUAGUAAAUUGAACACCAAUAAAAAAAAAAUCAAAAAAAAAAUAAAAUAAAAUUUUGUUCAUGGAUCUGAUAAAAUCUAGAUCUCUAAUAUUUUUAAGCCCAAGCCCCUUAGGCACUGCAGCUCUUUUCAGUUUUUGCUUAUACACAAUUCAUUCUUUGCAGCUAAUUAAGCUGAAGAAUCCUGGGAAUAAAGUUUUAAACAAGGUUAAUAAAGUUCUUUGCCUACGAAAAUAAAUUAAAUUAAAUUAAAUUAAAUUAAAUUAAAUU